rnacentral:rRNA from 1 species
UACGAAGGGGGCUAGCGUUGUUCGGAAUUACUGGGCGUAAAGGGCGCGUAGGCUGUGCUGUAAGUCAGGCGUGAAAGCCCCGGGCUCAACCUGGGAAUUGCGCUUGAUACUGCGGCGCUGGAAGGUAGGAGAGGAUGGCGGAAUUCCCAGUGUAGAGGUGAAAUUCGUAGAUAUUGGGAAGAACACCGGUGGCGAAGGCGGCCAUCUGGCCCACAAUUGACGCUGAGGCGCGAAAGCGUGGGGAGCAAACAGG